UACUAGAGUAGCACUCGCAUAUCAAUAAGCGGAGGAAAAGAAACUAACAAGGAUUCCCCUAGUAACGGCGAGUGAAGCGGGAAGAGCUCAAAUUUGAAAUCUUAAAGGGUUUCCCUUUACGAAUUGUAGUUUAAAGAAGUGUUUUCUGUUGAGGUUUUGGUAAAAGUUCUUUGGAAUAGGACAUCAUAGAGGGUGAGAAUCCCGUAUUUGACCUUUACUUUCAACUUUGUGAUACACUUUCAAAGAGUCGGAUUGUUUGGGAAUGCAGUCCAAAAUGGGUGGUAAAUUUCAUCUAAAGCUAAAUAUUGGCGAGAGACCGAUAGCGAACAAGUACCGUGAGGGAAAGAUGAAAAGGACUUUGAAAAGAGAGUUAAACAGUACGUGAAAUUGUCAAAAGGGAAGCGUUUGACACCAGUGUUGUUUUUCUGAAAAUCAAUUAAAGAACUGUUUAUGCUAAGCUGUUUAGACUUUAUCAGCUAUCUGUUUAGUUUUGAGCUUUUCUUUAAUGCACUUUUCAGUUAACAAGUCAACAUCAAUUUCUUUUGCUGUAAAAAAGCUUGAGGAAGGUGGCUUGAGAUUCGUCUUAAGUGUUUAUAGCCUCUUGCCUAUGCAGUCGGAGAGAUUGAGGUCAUGCAGCGUAGAUCCUUCGGGGCUAAAUGCAUUUGUGCUAAGUUAUAGCAUUUUAUAGACAACUUGUUGACUAUGAUUUGUCUUGUAGCUUACUCGCUUAUGUUAUUUUACCUACGCUUAGGAUGUUGAGCGCAUGUCUCUCUCU
rnacentral:rRNA from 1 species